rnacentral:rRNA from 1 species
GCAACUCGCCUGCAUGAAGUCGGAUUGCUAGUAAUCGCAGAUCAGCAUGCUGUGGUGAAUACGUUCCCGGGCCUUGUACACACCGCCCGUCACACCAUGGGAGUCGGUAACACCCAAAGUUGGUAGUCUAACCGCAAGGAGGACGCCGCCUAAGGUGGGAUUGAUGACUGGGGUGAAGUCGUAACAAGGUAUC